rnacentral:rRNA from 1 species
GGACAAGAUACGCAGGGCAAACGGUGGAUGCCUAGGCGGCAGCCAGCGAUGAAGGACGUAGUAAGUUGCGAUAAGCCCCGGGAAGCGGCUAAACACGCUUUGAUCCGGGGAUUUCCGAAUGGGGAAACCUGAUCGGGCAAAACCCGAUUAUGACGCCGUGAAUACAUAGCGGCGUCAAGCGCACGGGGGGAAGUGAAACAUCUCAGUACCCCCAGGAACAGAAAUCAACAGAGAUUCCCAAAGUAGCGGCGAGCGAAAUGGGAACAGCCCAAACCGUGUAAGUGUCAAGCCACGGCGUUGCUUGCACGGUGUCGCGGGGUUCGGCUUCAGGGGUUCCGUGAAACCCCUGCGGGAGUUACAAAUCCCGAGGUUAGAAGAAGCGGUUGGAAAACCGCGCCACAGAGGGUGAAAGCCCCGUACUUGAAAACCUUGGGACUCCCGUGCCGAAUUCCCAAGUACUCCGGCACACGUGAAAUGUUGGAGGAAUCCGGGAGGACCACCUUCCAAGGCUGAAUAUGCGCUGCCGACCGAUAGUGAACUAGUACCGUGAGGGAAAGGUGAAAAGUAACCCGAUGAGGGUAGUGAAAUAGAACCUGAAACCGUUUGCCUGUAACCAGUCGGAGGACUAUGCCCGGAGCUUGCUCCGGGAAUGUCUGACGGUGUGCCUUUUGCCUAAUGAGCCGGCGAGUUAUUGUCAUUGGCAAGGUUAAGCCGAUAGAGGUGGAGCCGAAGCGAAAGCGAGUCUUAAACGGGCGACAAGUCACUGGCAAUAGACCCGAAGCGAACCGACCUAUCCAUGGCCAGGGUGAAGCGGAGAGAAAACCUUUGUGGAAGCCCGAACCGUUUAGGGGUGAAAACCUAUCGGAUGAGCUGUGGAUCGGAGUGAAAGGCUAAUCAAGGUUCGUGAUAGCUGGUUCUCCCCGAAAUAUAUUUCGGUAUAGCCUCAUGUGAUACAACGCGGAGGUAGAGCGCUGGUUGGGCUAGGGGGUCGAGAGAUCUACCAAACCCAGUCAAACUCCGAAUGCCGCGUUGCCUAUAGCAUGGGAGUCAGUCCUCGGGAGAUAAGUUCCGGGGGCAAAAGGGAAACAACCCAGACCGUCAGCUAAGGCCCCCAAAUCCAAACUAAGUGGUAAAGGAGGUGAGUAAGCAUAGACAGCCAGGAGGUAGGCUUAGAAGCAGCCAUCCUUGAAAGAAAGCGUAACAGCUCACUGGUCGAUGCUUGCUCGCGCCGAAAAUGAAUCGGGGCUCAAGUUUGGUGCCGAAGCUGCGGGUCGUCCGCCGUUCUUGAACGGCCGGGCGGCGGUAGGGGAGCGUUCCCGUUGGAUUGAAGGGUUACCGUGAGGAGGCCUGGACCGUCGGGAAGUGAGAAUGCCGGCAUGAGUAGCGACAAAAGCGGUGAGAAUCCGCUUCGCCGAAAACCUAAGGUUUCCUGGGCAAGGCUCGUCCUCCCAGGGUUAGUCGGGACCUAAGACGAGGCCGAAAGGCGUAGUCGAUGGAAAACAGGUCAACAUUCCUGUACCACUCUGUCUGAGCGACGGGGGGACGGAGAAGGGUAGAUCAGCCGGGAGUUGGAUUUCCCGGUUUAAGCUCGUAGAGGGAAGGAACAGGAAAAUCCGUUCCUUCAUUAACCUCAAGAAGUGAAUACGAGGGGCGCUUGCGCCCCAUAAAGUGAUUGACCCCAUGCUUCCAAGAAAAGCCUCUAAGUGUUGACGACAGAGUGCUCGUACCAUAAACGGACACACGUAGGUGAGUAGAGAAUACUAAGGCGCGUGAGAGAACUUCGGCUAAGGAACUCGGCAAAUUAGCCCCGUAACUUCGGGAUAAGGGGCGCCCGUGUGUAUGUGAAGAGCCUUCGCGGCUCGGAGCAGAGACGGGUCGCAGUAACAAGGCGGUGACGACUGUUUACCAAAAACACAGGGCUCUGCAAAGGCGUAAGCCGACGUAUAGGGUCUGACACCUGCCCGGUGCCGGACGGUUAAGGGGACUUGUCAUCCCGCUUCGGCGGGAGAAGCUCGGAACCGAAGCCCCGGUAAACGGCGGCCGUAACUAUAACGGUCCUAAGGUAGCGAAAUUCAUUGUCGGGUAAGUUCCGACCUGCAUGAAAGGUGUAACGAUCGCCGCACUGUCUCGGCCGAAGACUCAGCGAAAUUGUGGUUCCGGUGAAGACGCCGGAUACCCGCUACGGGACGGAAAGACCCCGUGCACCUUUACUGCAACUUGGCAUUGGGUUCUGGUGUUACUUGCGUAGCAUAGGUGGGAGUCUGUGAAACCCCGCUUUCGGGCGGGGCGGAGACGCCAGUGAAAUACCACCCUUGUAAUUCCGGAGUUCUAACUUAGGCCCGUUAUCCGGGUCAAGGACAGUGUCAGGCGGGUAGUUUGACUGGGGCGGUCGCCUCCUAAAGAGUAACGGAGGCGUGCAAAGGUUCCCUCAGCCCGAUUGGAAACCGGGCUUUGAGUAUAAAGGCAUAAGGGAGCUUGACUGCGAGACCGACAGGUCGAGCAGGGACGAAAGUCGGCCUUAGUGACCCGGUGGUUCUGUGUGGAAAGGCCAUCGAUCAACGGAUAAAAGGUACGCCGGGGAUAACAGACUAAUCUCCCCCAAGAGUUCACAUCGACGGGGAGGUUUGGUACCUCGAUGUCGGCUCAUCGCAUCCUGGGGCUGGAGAAGGUCCCAAGGGUUGGGCUGUUCGCCCAUUAAAGCGGUACGCGAGCUGGGUUCAGAACGUCGUGAGACAGUUCGGUCCCUAUCUGUAGCGGGCGUAGGAAAUUUGAGAGGAGCUGCUCCUAGUACGAGAGGACCGGAGUGGACGCGCCUCUGGUGUAUCAGUUGUCGCGCCAGCGGCAGCGCUGAGUAGCCAUGCGCGGAAAGGAUAACCGCUGAAAGCAUCUAAGUGGGAAACCUCCCUCAAGAUUAGAUUUCCCGGGGCCUUGAGCCCCCUUAAGGUCACUUGGAGACUACGAGUUUGAUAGGCUGGAGGUGUAAGCACAGCAAUGUGUUGAGCUGACCAGUACUAACCGACCGUGAGGCUUCUCCAC